UCCCUGAUGGCUCAGUUGGUAAGGAAUCUGCCUGUAAUGCAGGAGACCCCAGUUCAAUUUCUGGGUCAGGAAG
rfam:TPA: Bos taurus chromosome 16, whole genome shotgun sequence.